rnacentral:rRNA from 1 species
AGCCAUGCGAGUCGACAUAGCAAUAUGUGGCAUACGGCUCAGUAACACGUAGUCAACAUGCCCAGGGGACGUGGAUAACCUCGGGAAACUGAGGAUAAACCGCGAUAGGUCAUCACUUCUGGAAUGGGUAAUGACUUAAACCUAUAUGGCCCCUGGAUUGGACUGCGGCCGAUCAGGCUGUUGGUGAGGUAAUGGCCCACCAAACCUGUAACCGGUACGGGCUCUGAGAGGAGGAGCCCGGAGAUGGGCACUGAGACAAGGGCCCAGGCCCUAUGGGGCGCAGCAGGCGCGAAACCUCCGCAAUAGGCGAAAGCCUGACAGGGUUACUCUGAGUGAUGCCCGUUAAGGGUAUCUUUUGGCACCUCUAAAAAUGGUGCAGAAUAAGGGGUGGGCAAGUCUGGUGUCAGCCGCCGCGGUAAUACCAGCACCCCGAGUGGUCGGGACGAUUAUUGGGCCUAAAGCAUCCGUAGCCUGUUCUGCAAGUCCUCCGUUAAAUCCACCCGCUUAACGGAUGGGCCGCGGGGGAUACUACAGGGCUAGGAGGCGGGAGAGGCAAGCGGUACUCGAUGGGUAGGGGUAAAAUCCACU